rnacentral:miRNA from 1 species
GUGAGGAUGAGAUUGAGAGAGAGGAUGAGAGGGAAAAGUAACAAAAGUGAAAACAAAAACUUGAAAGUGAAAACAAUUUCAAAUAGAUUUUAGUUUUUAUUUUCACUUUUGUUACUCCUUCCUCCCUCCUCCCCUCUCAUCUCCCAUCUCCA